UGCUGGAGUUUUUUGCACUCGUAGGGAGCUGUUUUUUCCACCAGGGGGAGCCACGAGACGGCAUCUACAGGAGGGCGUUUCCACGCACCUGUGCGUUAUCAGCCCCAUCUGCAACAGCUUAAGAGGAGCGGCUGACCGUUUCUCCGGGCCGGAGUGUUUUACCUGUUUGAAAUCCCCUCGUGGAGCUUGAUCGACGACGGCCCGACUGUCUGCCCGCCCUCCGACGCGCCUCCCUUGGCACCGGCCGAGGCUUUUAGCCAUCAGGACCCAGACUCCAGCGUCCAACCUUUUCCCUCCCUGUCUGGCUGACCUCAUCUCAUUCAGUAAGCCCGUUCCGUUACUCCUCCUCCAAUAAUCAGAUAACCCGCUUACCUGUCAUCUCCCCAGUCCUCAGAUCGCUGGCGUUCCGGAUCCAGUAGGAUAAGAAACAACUCAUUUUCGAUCUGUUCAACAAUAAAACUUAUUAAUCUGA